GUGGGCUCCUGCACGAUCCCUUCAGAAAUUCACACCUGGGGUCAGAGGGGUAAAGUGUACCUUUGGGUUCUCCUACCACUUUGGGAGACCUUAGGAUUCCGGCAAAGAGGAAAAACAGGGUCAGUGGGACUUUAGAAGGAAAGAUUGGGUUACCAGGAAAGGCCAAGUCAAGAGAUAGGACAGUGUGGUCAUAUGGGGAGAUUAAGAGAACCAGUCCUGGAUGUGGGCCACCUGCACUUAGCUCUGUUGCUAACUGCUGGGCGACCUUGAGUCAGUGACUCAAGGUCACUGUGUUCCAGUUUCCUUGUCUAUUCAAUGGGGAUGUGUUAGCCAGCUUUUUGUCUCUGGGACAAAAUACCUAGGAAAAAAAAUUUAGAGGAAGAAAGAUUUAUUUUUGGUUCAUGGUUCCCAAGGUUUCAGUCCAUGGUCGGCUGGCUUCAUUGCUUUGGGUUUGAGAUAAGGUAGAAUAUCAUGGCGGAAGGGCAUGGUGGAGAAAAUUUGCUCAGCUCACGGCAGCCAGGAAGCAGAAAGAAAAAGAGAAGGGAGAAAGGGGUGGAGGACAAGACAUGUACUUGGAGGGCAAGCCACAGGGACCUACUUCCUUCAAAUAAGUCAUACCGCCUAUAGUUUCCACCACCUCCUAAUAAUGCCAUCCAAUUAUGGACUCAUUAAUGGGUUAAUCCCAGUGAUAGGGGUUAAUAGCCCUCAAGAUCUAAUCACUCCCCAAGAGCCCCACCUCGGAACACUGCUGCGUUGUGGACCAGACCUUCAACACAUGAGUCUUGCGGGGAACAUUUCGGAUCCAGAUCAUAACAGGAUGAUACCAUCAGGGUUGCUGUGAGAUCAAAUGUUCUGACUUAAAACUAGAGGUCCUUAUGAACUGUCAGCUGGUACCAGAUUGGACAGGUACCAUAACAACUGAUUGAAUGAGGACUGAGGAUCUAAAAUUUAUGCAAACCAUUUCAUCUUCUGGCCUCUACAAGGUUCAUCGAGCUCAUUCAGCUGGGUUCCCCCAAGAGCUCUAAGACACGGACUCCUGGGAAGACAGUUUAUAGGAGUAGGGAUAGGACAAAGGGUUGGGAGAGACCAAGGAAGUAGAAGACGCAUCCAGUAACUGAGUGUCACUGUGACUGGAGCCGAAUCUUACAAGGACAGUGGAGGGAACCUAAACAACUGGGCUUCAGAACUGUCAGUAGAGGAUGAGCGGGAAGAACAGAUCUCUGCCAGCCCCUAUCAUUCGCCACUGAGGGGUCCUACCUCAGGGGGAUGGCUAGCAUCGGGGUGGGG
rnacentral:lncRNA from 1 species